CCUACGGGUGGCAGCAGUGAGGAAUAUUGGUCAAUGGGCGCGAGCCUGAACCAGCCAAGUAGCGUGAAGGAUGACUGCCCUACGGGUUGUAAACUUCUUUUAUAAAGGAAUAAAGUGAGGCACGUGUGCCUUUUUGUAUGUACUUUAUGAAUAAGGAUCGGCUAACUCCGUGCCAGCAGCCGCGGUAAUACGGAGGAUCCGAGCGUUAUCCGGAUUUAUUGGGUUUAACGGGAGCGUAGAUGGGUUGUUAAGUCAGUUGUGAAAGUUUGCGGCUCAACCGUAAAAUUGCAAUUGAUACUGGCAGUCUUGAGUACAGUUGAGGUAGGCGGAAUUCGUGGUGUAGCGGUGAAAUGCUUAGAGAUCACGAAGAACUCCGAUUGCGAAGGCAGCUUACUAGACUGGCACUGACGUUGAGGCGCGAAAGUGUGGGUAGCAAACAGGAUUAGAUACCCUUGUAGUC
rnacentral:rRNA from 1 species